UAAUAAAGACAUAUCCGCGGAGUUAGGGAAUCCGGUGAGAAGCCGGAACGGCCCCUGCCACCGUAAUCGGCAAGCGGAGAGCGCGUACGUCGCCUCCGCAGACCGAGCCGCAUUCAGCCACUGUCGAAAGAUGGGAAGGCGCGGCCCGGGGAACCGAGAGUCGGGAAACCUGCCGCGCGAUAUACGGGCUU
rnacentral:ncRNA from 1 species